GACGAACGCUGGCGGCGUGCUUAACACAUGCCAGUCGAACGAUGAAGCCUUAGCUUGCUUUGGUGGAUUAGUGGCGAACGGGUGAGUAACACGUGAGCAACGUGCCCAGGACUCUGGAAUAACCGCGGGAAACCGUGGCUAAUACCGGAUAGGUGCCGAGGCCGCAUGGUCUUCGGUUGGAAAGUUUUUGCGGUUCUGGAUCGGCUCACGGCCUAUCAGCUUGUUGGUGGGGUAAUGGCCUACCAAGGCGACGACGGGUAGCCGGCCUGAGAGGGUGACCGGCCACACUGGGACUGAGACACGGCCCAGACUCCUACGGGAGGCAGCAGUGGGGAAUAUUGCACAAUGGGCGCAAGCCUGAUGCAGCAACGCCGCGUGGGGGAUGACGGCCUUCGGGUUGUAAACCUCUUUUAGUAGGGAAGAAGCGCAAGUGACGGUACCUGCAGAAAAAGCACCGGCUAACUACGUG
rnacentral:rRNA from 1 species